rnacentral:rRNA from 1 species
CCCUUAGAUGUUCUGGGCCGCACGCGCGCUACACUGAUGCAUUCAACGAGCCUAUCCUUGACCGACAGGUCCGGGUAAUCUUUGAAUCUGCAUCGUGACGGGGAUAGAUUAUUGCAAUUAUUAAUCUUCAACGAGGAAUGCCUAGUAGGCGCAAGUCAUCAGCUUGCGUCGAUUACGUCCCUGCCCUUUGUACACACCGCCCGUCGCUACUACCGAUUGAAUGGCUUAGUGAGGUCUUCGGACUGGACUUCGGGGAGCCGGCAACGGCACCCUGUCGCUGGGAAGUUGAUCAAACUUGGUCAUUUAGAGGAAGUAAAAGUCGUAACA